rnacentral:rRNA from 1 species
GGUCCUGCGCCGAAAAUGUCCGGGGCUGAAACACGACACCGAAGCUUAGGAAUCACAUAGUGAUUGGUAGAGGAGCAUUCUUAAAACCGACGAAGCUGUACCGAAAGGAGCAGUGGAGGGAUAAGAAGAGAGAAUGCCGGAAUGAGUAGCGAGAGAAAGGUGGGAAUCCUUUCGGCCGAAUAUCUAAGGUUUCCAGAGUAAAGCUGAUCUGCUCUGGGUAAGUCGGGGCCUAAGCACAGGUCGCAAGACGUAAGCGAUGGAUAACAGGUUUAGAUUCCUGUACCACGCAUUAUCAGAACUGUAGGGACGCAUGUGGAAAGCACGAGCCGGGAAUGGAAAUACCGGUACAAGCGGGGUAGGUGUACAAUAGGCAAAUCCGUUGUAUAAUCCGAAGACGUGAUGUGGAGCGAAAUAAAGUAGCAAAGCGUGUGAGCCAUGUGCCGAGAAAAGCUGCUAUUGUGUAAUGCGUGCCCGUACCGUAAACCGACACAGGUGGAUGAGGAGAGAAUCCUAAGGCCGGCGGAAGAAGCAUUGUUAAGGAAUUCGGCAAAAUGACCCCGUAACUUCGGGAGAAGGGGUGCCUGCGAGAGCAGGCCGCAGAGAAUAGGCUCAAGCAACUGUUUAGCAAAAACACAGGUCUAUGCGAAACCGAAAGGUGAAGUAUAUGGGCUGACGCCUGCCCGGUGCUGGAAGGUUAAGAGGAGAGGUUAGCGCAAGCGAAGCUUUGAAUUUAAGCCCCAGUAAACGGCGGCCGUAACUAUAACGGUCCUAAGGUAGCGAAAUUCCUUGUCGGGUAAGUUCCGACCCGCACGAAAGGCGUAAUGAUUUGGGCACUGUCUCAACAACACACCCGGUGAAAUUGAAAUACCAGUGAAGAUGCUGGUUACCUGCGCCAGGACGGAAAGACCCCAUGGAGCUUUACUCCAGUUUGAUACUGGGAUUCGGUACUGCAUGUACAGGAUAGGUGGGAGACGAAGAAGGAUGGACGCCAGUCUGUCCGGAGUCGCUGUUGGGAUACCACCCCUGUAGUACUGGGUUUCUAACCAGUUGCCAUGAACUGGCAAUGGGACAAUGUCAGGCGGGGAGUUUGACUGGGGCGGUCGCCUCCGAAAGGGUAUCGGAGGCGCUCAAAGGUUCCCUCAGAAUGGUUGGAAACCAUUUGAAGAGUGCAAAGGCAGAAGGGAGCUUGACUGCGACACCGACGGGUGGAGCAGGUACGAAAGUAGGACUUAGUGAUCCGGUGGUAUAAAGUGGGAUUGCCAUCGCUCAACGGAUAAAAGCUACCCUGGGGAUAACAGGCUUAUCACUCCCAAGAGUUCACAUCGACGGAGUGGUUUGGCACCUCGAUGUCGGCUCAUCGCAUCCUGGGGCUGUAGCAGGUCCCAAGGGUUGGGCUGUUCGCCCAUUAAAGCGGUACGCGAGCUGGGUUCAGAACGUCGUGAGACAGUUCGGUCCCUAUCCGGCGUGGGCGUAGGAUAUUUGAGAGGAGCUGUCCUUAGUACGAGAGGACCGGGAUGGACGGACCGCUGGUGGACCGGUUGGCUUGCCAAAGCCAUGGCCGGGUAGCCAAGUCCGGAAGGGAUAAACGCUGAAGGCAUCUAAGCGUGAAGCCCCCCUCAAGAUGAGAUAUCCCUCCUUCGGGAGUAAGACCCCUUGA